CCUGAUCCAGCCAUGCCGCGUGUGUGAAGAAGGCCUUCGGGUUGUAAAGCUCUUUCACCAGGGAUGAUAAUGACGGUACCAGGUAAAGAAACCCCGGCUAAUUCCGUGCCAACAACCGCGGUAUUACACCGUGCCAGCAGCCGCGGUAAUACA
rnacentral:rRNA from 1 species